rnacentral:lncRNA from 1 species
AGAAUUCCAUCUAUCUAUGUCUAAAAACCUAAAUAUGAUGCUUUCCCCUUAAGAAUGUCGUCACUCAAUCUAUCACUAGGAAAAUCUCACCCACACCAUUAUUAAAAAAAAUGGAAAACCAAAAAUGAAAACAAACAACUCACAAAAUUUCUAUGCUUUGUGCAUACUAAGUUCAAGUAUUUCAAGCCAAUGAAUAAACACGUGUAGGGCCACACCCCCAACUAUAUGACUUGCAAUGACCUCACUACACAAUGUAAAAGCACAAGAAGGGUUAAAGGGCUCCCUAACACAACAUUGAUAACCAUGUUGAAAUCUAGAAAGAGAGGCCUAAUCAUAAACUGAUUGGUGCCAUCGCGGUGUACCAAUCAUGGCCCAUGGCCCACGAUCGCGGUACCUAAGGCCAUCUGCUCCUCUAUUUUGACCUAUAUUUCUACA